rnacentral:rRNA from 1 species
UACGUAGGGCGCAAGCGUUGUCCGGAAUUAUUGGGCGUAAAGAGCUCGUAGGCGGCCUGUUGCGUCCGCUGUGAAAUCCCGGGGCUCAACCCCGGGCGUGCAGUGGAUACGGGCUGGCUGGAGGCAGGCAGGGGAGAACGGAAUUCCUGGUGUAGCGGUGAAAUGCGCAGAUAUCAGGAGGAGCACCGGUGGCGAAGGCGGGUCUCUGGGCCGAUACUGACGCUGAGGAGCGAAAGCGUGGGGAGCGAACAGG